ensembl:lncRNA
CACACACAAUCAUAUACUGUACACAAUCAUACACAAAUAAAUACUGUACACAAUCACACACGAUCAUAUACUGUACACAAUCACACACACACAAAAUCAUAUACUGUACACAAUCACACACACACAAAAUCAUAUACUGUACACAAUCACACACACACACAAAAUCAUAUACUGUACACAAUCACACACACACAAAUCAUAUACUGUACACAAUCACACACAAUCAUACACUGUACACAAUCACACACAAUCAUAUACUGUACACAAUCACACACACACACAAAAUCAUAUACUGUACACAAUCACACACACAAUCAUAUACUGUACGCAAUCACACACACAAUCAUAUACUGUACGCAAUCACACACACACAAUCAUAUACUGUACGCAAUCACACACACAAUCAUAUACUGUACGCAAUCACACACACAAUCAUAUACUGUACACAAUCACAUACACACACAAUCACAUACACACACACAAAAUCACAUACACACACAACUGCAUACACACCAUCACACACACAAACACACACACCUUCACAUACUGUAUAUAACCACAUGUACACAAACGCAAACACUAUUUUGAGGUAUGGCCUCUGUUUCUCUCAGUCCUGGUGAGGGAGGUGUGGCCUUUGGGUCGUGAGGGAGGCGUGGCCUUUGGACCUGUCAGUCCCGGUGAGGGAGGCGUGGCCUUUGGGUCUGUCAGUCCCGGUGAGGGUGGCGUGGCCUUUGGGUCUGUCAGUCCUGGUGAGGGAGGUGUGGCCUCUGUGUCUGUUAGUCCUGGUGAGGGAGGUGUGGCCUCCGUGUCUGUUAGUCCCAGGCAGACUAUUCUACUCACCUGAUGGAAGGGACAGCAGUUGAAUUCUCCAGAGUGAAUCUGGCAACAUGUUUGCUCAUCCCCACAGCGCUGCUGAUCAGGACACUUCGAACCGGCUACCAGGCUCAGCAAGAGCACGCCAGCUGUUAGUCUUAACAUCUGCAAUGACACAGGGGGAAAAAAGAGGAAUAAAAACUAAAAAAAGAAAUUGACGGAGGCUUAAAAUAACUGAAAUUAUUAGUUCAAUUAUAGUUCAUUAUUCAUUCAAAAGUAAAUGAAUGAAUAAAUAAAUAAAUAAAUAAAUAAAAUGUUUAAAGGAACAGUACUUUGAUUAAGAAGUAUUAAAAAAUAUGUAUUUUUUUUAUAAAAACGAAAUUCAUAAAAAUAUAAGAUAAUAUAGAAAAAAGAUUAAAAAUAAAAAGUAUUUCAAAAAGUAAAAGGUUUAAUAUUUAUAAAUAUUUAAUAGGAAUUAAAGUGCACACGGAUUAGAAAGUAAUGAUGAAUGAAAUAAAAGAGCAUAUAUUUUUAAAGGUAUUCUACUUAGCUUAAAAUUGGAACAUAAACAAGAAAAUAAACCUAACGCGAAAAUAAAGAUCAAUAAUAGAAUAAGGAUAUGAAUAAAUGAGUGAAAAUAACAGCAAAAAAGCAAACCACUGUUUUAAAGCUAUUUUUUUAUUUUUAUUGUGUCUGUUGCGGAUGGCUCGCCGAGUUGUACACGAAGUGAAUUCCACAUGCUGGGAGCGUUCGAACUAAUGGCAGCUUUCCCCGUUUGCUUUAUUCUCUUCUGCUCAGAAUGAAGAAGGUUCUUAAAAACUUCUGGGAGUGCGGUGAGGAAAGGAACGAUCGGUGAAACUGGACAAAAUGUCGUUUUACAAGCCUGUUCCGUAAUCACAGAUGUACAGGACGAGAACAGAAAGAGAAUCACAUCCUGUACAACACGCUCCCAUGUUAAUCAACCUGGCCUUUCUUUAUUCCCUUUAUUCUUAUUCCCUUUAUUUAUUCCCUGGCCACUUUCAUGCCAUACUUACUAAAACCUUCAAAUCAUAUGCAAUAUGUAGCUAAAUUUCAGGUACCUUUUUGUUUUUUUUGAAGUCCAGAGUUUUACCCUGCAUUUAUAGAGUUACAGAAAACACACAGAGGAAAUGUCAUGACCUUUAUCAACAGAAAACACACUGUGCUUUCUCAGCCUUUACCUAAACCAUCACUUUUACUCAUGUGACAGUACUGCUUCCUCUUAUUUAUUAUAAAAUAGCCAGUCAGGAGUUUCCGACCUCACUUUGACACUUCUACAUUGUGAUUUCACUUCAUCUACAUUCAACUUGGACGUUAAAAAUACUGUUAAUGACUGCGUUUACAUGAACAGCGGUAAUGUAAUUAUUGACCAUAUUCUGAAUAAGACGUAUAAUAUUCUGAUGAAGGUGUUUACAUGAGUCUCUUUUAGAAUACUCCUUUCAUGUUCCUGUUUUACGUGUUAUAGAACAUAGAUGGAUUAACAGCACACGUCAUUACGUCCCCGCGCCACGCCGUCCGACGUCUCUCCAGAAUUUCACGUAUCGGCAUACAGCUGGUCUUCGUUAUGGGACCGUAUACAGUUUUGGGUGUUUAAAUGCAGCUUCAAGUGCGGUUAAUUAUCUGUCAUGCUGUACGUGCAAAUAGACGACUGCUUGAAGCCGUGGGCUGCGCCCCAAUCUACGUGUUACGUGUAUUUUGCCUAUUACCCUAUACAGUUAUAGCAGGUAAGUACGCGGUUUGGGACGCGGCCGUGCUCUCUCGUUUACGUGAAACGGUCGAGCGCUGCCGUGUGUGUACGUGUCCUGUCGCACAAUGCGGUGAAAACUCUCACACGACGUUAAUAGUGUGAUUAAGGUGUGUACACGUCCGUAACGCACGUCGAUAACGUGACUAAAACGGGAAUACUCCACACGUCUUAAUUCCAUUUGUGUUUACUUCGAGUAUGACUUUAAUCAGAUUAAGAUCAUCAAUAAUCUCUGUUUACAUGCUAGUUUCUUAAUCAGAGUAUCGUCUUAAUCGGGUUCACAUCGGAAUAGCGUUGUCCAUGUAAACGUACUGACUGUCAGGGAAGAAAAAAGAGCUGUGUGAGUUUAUCAUGCUUGGGAAUUAACCUGGAAGCUCCCCUCUUGAGCUCUGCGAGGUUUCAGUGUGGCUAAAACACUGGUUAGAAAGUGCAACAGUAACAUAAAAUGAGGAAGUGCUUGUGAUUUAUGCACAGCAUUUAUGUAGCUAUAAACUGAAAGCCAUCCAGGCCACACUAAUGAGCAGGCAGGCAGUAGCAGUUGUAGUAGUAGUAGUAAUAAUAAUAAUAAUAAUAAUAAUAAUAAUAAUAAGCUUGUUUUAUACGAUGUCUUUCUCCUACACAAGGUCGCUGCUUUAACAGUAAGAAGAAACCUGAUAAAAAAAUUUGCAAGACAAGACAAAAAGAAGAAGUAGAGGAUUAAAAUGACCCAUGGUUGAAUAAAACAGACAGGAAGUAAAAGAACAGCAAAGUUUCGUGUCAUGAGUUUUGCUUUGUAUAUAAUUUGAUUUCCUUUUAAACUUUUAAACCAGCAAUCACACGCACUGCGGUUCUGCUUACCCUCAGAUGGGUCGUUUUUGAUCCCCAGAGAGCUUCUGACCUGAUCACCGUCUCGUCCCCGAGCUCCUGGUUCUCUGCUGCAAGAGAUGACGAGUCAGCGCUCGAUGCUCGGCAGUCUUAUAAAGUCUUAUAAAGCUCCCGUUUGAGGCGUUACAACAUGCCUCCCAGUCAAACAUGACACAACUCCAGGCAGUAACACCCUUCCAAACAAUUACAAAAUCCUUCAAAUGACUUUCAUCCAUGCAAAAGCACUAACGCUGGGAUGAUAUUUGCAGUGAUUCAUUUAUUUAUUUAUUUAUUUUUAAUCUCAAUCUGCAGUAGGAGUUACAUAUUCAGAGUGACUCUAUAACACGGCCAAAGGAUCUCAUACCACAGCGUGCGUUUAUUUCCGAAUUAUUAUUAUUGGAUCAAAAGGUGUUGAUGAAUUUUCUAAAAAAAAAUUCCUGACACUAUUACCAACUGUAAAUCAAAUCACAGGGUUAUAUUAAAUACUUUAUCGUUUCUAUAGUAACAGACCGUUCGCAGGGACACCAGGGUAUAGCAAAACUCAACAUCUCAACAUAACUUUAAAAAACAAAAACAAAGUAUAAUUGGUCAUACUAUGACGUUUUCUGUAAGGAGACAUUUAUUUGUUUAACAUUGAUGGAAGGAGUCUCCAGUGUCAGCGCUUCGUAACGGUCAGAGGUGACGCUGUCAUUUUCGAACAUCUUCAGGAUGAAGUUUGGUGUCUUUGUAACUUCAAGAGAGAGGAAAAGAAAUCGGCCGGUGAGGGAACGACGAGGUGAGACACUAAGAACGGGAACUAACUUGUUUCACGGACGAUCUGCAUUAACAUUAAACGUGUCUUUCUUUUCUUUAAUUACCAAAAAAAUUCAAUGUAAUUGUUGGUAAACUGCCGUGGCAGAAAAGAAAUGAAACGCGCGAGCGCACGCUGUAAUAGGAAAAUAAUCAUCGUUCAGGGUGGCAGCUGUAACGUAACUGUGCUUCAUCACACCACCACGUCGCUGAUUGUUUUCCUAUAACAGCACAACUCUGAGUGUUUUAUUUCUCUACGUGUUCACUGUGCUUGAUACUGUCCUGGUUAAAAGUGUGGAAUGUUCCACUACAUACUACAAAAUAAAGUACUUUUUUUUUUUUUUUACUUCCUGGCCUUGUUUUCAUUUUGGUUAACUUCCUGUUAAACACACUGUACUGUUGCGAUCAUUGACGUAGCUGUGAAAAAACUCGACCAUGACAGUAGACAAAAGCACUGAGGGGAAAAACGUUAGAUUUUAAAUUGAAACUUUUAUAGACGUUAUGAAUCUUCAGACAGUUUUACAGAAACAAAAGGAAAAACAUAACACAGACUAAAUUAAAAUAAUCAUCAUCA